UACGAAGGGGGCUAGCGUUGCUCGGAAUUACUGGGCGUAAAGGGCGCGUAGGCGGUUGGAUAAGUCAGCUGUGAAAACCACGGGCUUAACUCGUGGCCUGCAGUUGAGACUGUCUGGCUUGGGUGUGGGAGAGGAGAGUGGAAUUCCUGGUGUAGCGGUGAAAUGCGUAGAUAUCAGGAGGAACACCGGUGGCGAAGGCGGCUCUCUGGACCACAACUGACGCUGAGGCGCGAAAGCUAGGGGAGCAAACAGG
rnacentral:rRNA from 1 species